UCCUGCAGAGAUGUGGGAGUGCUCGAAAGAGAGCCUAGACACAGGUGCUGCAUGGCCGUCGUCAGCUCGUGUCGUGAGAUGUUGGGUUAAGUCCCGCAACGAGCGCAACCCUUGUCAUUAGUUGCUACGAAAGGGCACUCUAAUGAGACUGCCGGUGACAAACCGGAGGAAGGUGGGGAUGACGUCAGGUCAUCAUGGCCCUUAUGGGUAGGGCUACACACGUCAUACAAUGGCCGGGACAGAGGGCUGCCAACCCGCGAGGGGGAGCUAAUCCCAGAAAACCAGUCCCAGUUCGGAUUGCAGUCUGCAACUCGACUGCAUGAAGGCGGAAUCGCUAGUAAUCGCAGAUCAGCAUGCUGCGGUGAAUACGUUCCCGGGCCUUGUACACACCGCCCGUCACAUCACGAAAGUGGG
rnacentral:rRNA from 1 species